UCCUCCGUGGUCCUCCAUCUCUUUCUUCUUCUCCGUGCAGCCGCACGCUCAACAACUGCCCAAUUCUUCUUUUUUUUUCUUCCUCUUUCGUUCGACGUUGACGCUCAGACCAAGCCGAAAACGAAAACCCAGUCGCCGUCGCUCUUUUCUUUUCGUUUUCUACCGCCGGCCACCCCAAAAUUUCUCUCCCUUCCGUCCGUCGAAGCCAACACCGCCGCGCCCAUCCGCCUGUAACCGCCGGCUGUCUUCCCUCUUCUUUCUCCUCUGUUUUCUACCCAGCACCGCGUGACCCUCUGCCCAGCGCCGCGCAACCUCUGUCUCUGCGCCGUUGCCCAGAUCUGCGUCGUCGUGCCCCGUCCUAAUCGCCUCUGUCUCCGUCGAAGCCAAGCCCAGCCGCCGCCCAUUCCUUUCCUCUCCGUUCGUGAAGCCGGUCACCGCGUCAGAUCGUCGAUCGAUUUUGAGGCAGCGCGCACGUCUCCUUCCAGCCGCGCGUUUCCUCUUCUUCCAGCAGCGUGUUCUUCUUCCAGCCGCAAUUCACAACCGACGUACACUCUAAUCUGUUUGUACGAUCUUCGUUGUUAGGUUCGAUCGUCGCUGCCGCCGUUUUUGUUGUGUUGGAAGUGACAUUGGGUCCCUCGUGUUCAUAACCGAAAUUGUGAAUUUUGGAGUUUGACUAGCCAAUACUUUGUAUCUUUCGUGGGAUAUAGUUUGUUCAAGAAAUUGAGCAACCUUGAGGCAAAGGUAAUAAAGACGGCAAACUGGCGAGGGGCAGGAAGGAAGCGUGAUUGUCAUAGGGGUUAUUUUAAAUUGCUUCUGCUAAAUGUUUUGUUUCACGUGUUUUGUUUUAGUACUUGAGAUUGUUUAGAAAAUUUUAUAGUUGAACUGUAUUCACGAAUUAGUAAAUUUUUCUUGAAAGUGUUGGUUAUUUUAAACAAGGCCCAGAUAUAAUUUUUUUUGUUUU